rnacentral:rRNA from 1 species
CCUACGGGGGGCUGCAGUGGGGAAUAUUGGACAAUGGGCGAAAGCCUGAUCCAGCCAUGCCGCGUGUGUGAAGAAGGCCUUCGGGUUGUAAAGCAUUUUCAGUGGGGAAGAAAGCCUUGGGGCUAAUACCCUCGAGGAAGGACAUCACCCACAGAAGAAGCACCGGCUAACUCCGUGCCAGCAGCCGCGGUAAUACGGAGGGUGCGAGCGUUAAUCGGAAUUACUGGGCGUAAAGCGCGCGUAGGCGGUCUGAUAAGCCGGUUGUGAAAGCCCCGGGCUCAACCUGGGAACGGCAUCCGGAACUGUCAGGCUAGAGUGCAGGAGAGGAAGGUAGAAUUCCCGGUGUAGCGGUGAAAUGCGUAGAGAUCGGGAGGAAUACCAGUGGCGAAGGCGGCCUUCUGGACUGACACUGACGCUGAGGUGCGAAAGCGUGGGUAGCAAACAGGAUUAGAUACCCCUGUAGUC